rnacentral:rRNA from 1 species
AAAGAAAGAUUUAUCGGUGAUGGAUGGGGCCGCGUUAGAUUAGCUUGUUGGUGGGGUAAUGGCCUACCAAGGCGACGAUCUAUAGCUGGUCUGAGAGGAUGAUCAGCCACACUGGGACUGAGACACGGCCCAGACUCCUACGGGAGGCAGCAGUGGGGAAUAUUGGACAAUGGGCGCAAGCCUGAUCCAGCAACGCCGCGUGAAUGAUGAAGGCCUUAGGGUUGUAAAAUUCUUUCGCUAGGGAAGAUAAUGACUGUACCUAGUAAAGAAGCCCCGGCUAACUCCGUGCCAGCAGCCGCGGUAAUACGGAGGGGGCUAGCGUUGUUCGGAAUUACUGGGCGUAAAGCGUGCGUAGGCGGAUUAAUAAGUUAGAUGUGAAAUCCCAGGGCUCAACCCUGGAACUGCAUUUAAAACUGUUAGUCUUGAGUUCUGGAGAGGUAAGUGGAAUUCCUAGUGUAGAGGUGAAAUUCGUAGAUAUUAGGAGGAACACCAGAGGCGAAGGCGGCUUACUGGACAGAUACUGACGCUGAGGCACGAAAGUGUGGGGAGCAAACAGGAUUAGAUACCCUGGUAGUCCACACCGUAAACGAUGAGAGCUAGUUGUCUGCAAGCAUGCUUGUAGGUGACGCAGCUAACGCAUUAAGCUCUCCGCCUGGGGAGUACGGUCGCAAGAUUAAAACUCAAAGAAAUUGACGGGGGCCCGCA